GAUGAACGCUAGCGGGAGGCCUAACACAUGCAAGCCGAGCGGUAUUUGUUCUUCGGGACAGUGAGAGCGUCGCACGGGUGCGGAACACGUGUGCAACCUGCCUUUAUCUGGGGGAUAGCCUUUCGAAAGGAAGAUUAAUACCCCAUAAUAUAUUGAGUGGCAUCAUUUGAUAGUGAAAACUCCGGUGGAUAGAGAUGGGCACGCGCAAGAUUAGAUAGUUGGUGAGGUCACGGCUCACCAAGUCAAUGAUCUUUAGGGGGCCUGAGAGGGUGAUCCCCCACAGUGGUACGGCGACACGGACCAGAAUCCUACGGGCGGCAGCAGUGAGGAAUAUUGGACGAUGGGUUAGGGACUGAUCCAGCCAUCCCGCGUGAAGGACGACGGCCCUAUGGGUUGUAAACUUCUUUUGUAUAGGGAUAAACCUACUGUCGUGAGAGUAGCUGAAGGUACUAUACGAAUAAGCACCGGCUAACUACGUG
rnacentral:rRNA from 1 species